rnacentral:lncRNA from 1 species
CACGACAGCAUAGGCUUCUAUAGUCAUCGACUGUGUGUUGUACCCUACGACGGACGCACUAGCCUUAGACCUCACCAGCCUUGUUGGCAGAUUUUAUAUGUUGUUUCUCAGACUGCUGGCCAUGAUUCUGGGAUUUGAUUCAUCAACUGUUUUCUUUAUUUAUGCCCAGGUGUCAUUCUUCAUUUGCAAUUGGCAGUACAUCAAUCAACCGUCCGGAUUGUAAGGGUCGGCUGAUGGCGCCUCGGCAUUUUCAAAUAAAAAGUCAUCACUACGAAAGUUAGUCAAUCAACCAAUGUAGAGCCUUGGAAAUAUUUUCAAUAUUCAUGGAAGAAUGGAGGUACUCCGUACUUCUUUUGUUUUUCUAAGGUCACUAGGUUAAUGCCCGUACGUUGUUACGGGUUUUAAAUCCACAUACUUUAUGUUUCUUUAUUGUUAUUUUAUUUUUUAUGUCUAUAUUCUUCUUUUUUCAUUUUUUUAAGUUUUUGUUUUUUGAUUUUAUUUUAUUUUCUGUCCUUUCCUUAUUAUUUUCUUGUUUUAAUUUUACCUUUUAUUUUCUUUUUGUUUUGGUUUUAUUUUUAUUGUUCUUUCUUACUUCUAUUUGUUUUUCUUUUUUCUUUUCAGAUUUUCUAUGUUUCUUCAUUCUUAUUUUAUAUUUUAUUUCCUUUUAAUCUUAUUUUUAUUUUUAUUUAAAUUAUUCAUUAAUUUUAUUUGCUCUAUGCACUUUUUAUCAUUUGUUAAUUAUGUUUGUUUUUGUAUUUUUUUUCUUAGUAAUUUUAUUUUUUAUUUUUAUUUUCUAUAUAUAUGUGAUAUUUAUGUAGUAUAUAUUUAGUGUUCUAUAUUGUGUUAUGUCAUGUUUACGUAAUAUAUCACAUAAUAUAUAUGUGAUGUUCUAUGAUGUUUCUUAUGGGAGUUGUGGCUUCACCAUGGGUGUGGUAGAUGCGUCCUUUUCAUAAUUUUUAGUUGUAGUGAUUUAUUUAUGUUAAUGUUCUAUAAAUAUAUUUACAAUAUUUAAAAAGUAACCCUUUGACAUUAUUUGAAAUUUUUCUCCAUUUUGUGUUUUUAUUUUUUUCUUAUGCUUUUUACUCUAGAUUUUUUUAUUAUUUUUAUCUAUGUCAUCUAUUUAUGUAUUUUUAUGUAUAUUGUAAUAUCAGUUUCAUAAACCUAAAACCAAAAUACUAUUCUUCUAAAUCGAUAACAUUUUUUUACAAAGACAAAACAUUGUCUGUUGAACCUAGAAUAUUGUUUCUACUUAAUAAAAGAAAAUAUUUUAUAUUUAUAAGAUAAAUAUUCAUUAAUAAAAUUUUAUCUAAAUAUAUCCAUGUGUGAUCUUAUUUUGAAGGAUUUGUUAUAAGAAAUUUAAUGGUGCAAUCAAAAUUUAAUUUAUAUCCAUGUGUUAUAAGAAAUUUUAUGACUUUUUCUAAUUCGCUAAAAAAUUUUUGCAUAAAUAGGUGAGUGGGGCCUAGGUUGAUGGGAUAGCGUGUCAUCGCGCAGUAAAAAAAGACCACCAAUGGGAUGAAAGUUGUGGAUGGGUCCUUGUCGACGAAAGCUGGUCGGCAGUCUACCUUGGGGUAUACCCACGGUAGUAGUUUAUCGGUAGAUGGUGCGCAAACUACGAACUCGAUGGUGACGCAAGACUCGGACAAGCUUUUUAUCCAGGUUCGGCCGCCGAGUUGGCGUAAUACCUACGUCCUGCGUCUGGUUGUAUUGAUUUGUGUUGAGAGAAUCGUAUGUCCUAGGGGGGUCCCUUGCCUCUCCUUAUAUAGUCUGAAGGGCAGGGUUACAGAUCUGGAAACUAAUCCUAGUCGGUUACAAUUGUCAUAGAUAGUUCGAUAUCAAUUCCUAUUCUAACCGACUAGAAUCCUGCUUGAUCUCCACAUCUUGCUUCCUUGCGCGAAACUCCAGGCUGUCGGAUCAAGCCUUGAACUCGUCUCGUAAUGGGCCAAGCCUCCUGGCCCAAGUCUAGCUGUAAGGGUAUAGGGGUCUAUCCCCCCACAGCUAGUCCCCGAGCACCAUGUAUUGUGAUGUAACACGCCGUCUUGAGCUUCUUCGAUCAGUGAGGCUUGACGUCUUCAAUAAGCAGGAAAGUCGUCCAAACAGUUGCAACAGUAUUUUGACCAACUCAAAAAACAGUUGAUCAACAUUGACAUCGAAGAAGCAGGUUGUUUGAAGAAUGCAUGGUGCUCUAAAUUAAAAAAGAUUUCUUUCUUGGUGAAGUGUGCCCACUUUACUUUUCUGAAAAGCAUGGACCUAAAAAAAGCAAGCAUAUUCACCGCAAGGUGAAGUGUGCCCACUUAGUCCCCGAGCCUGGUAGUAGGUGACGUAGGCACGUGGUGCCAGGGUCAAAAGAAAAGUUCUCAAAGAAAUUCUGAAACUGAGAUGCAUCGCCAGAUGCAUCGUACCGAUGUAGUCCCCGAGCUUGCUGGAAGGCGAAGUAUGAGCCUUGUAGCAAGGUCUAAAAAGUUGAAUUUACCAGUCUGACUGCAAUUGAAUAGACUAAUCGACCAGUCCCCGAGCAUAUAACGCUCGGUGGUCGGUACAGUCGCCGAAUUCUCAAAUUGGUGGGCUGGUCGACCAGUCCCCGAGCGUAUAGUGCUCGGUGGUCGGUACAGUUCUAAAACUCUCAAAUUGGUGAGCUGGUCGAACAGUCCCCGAGCGUAUAGUGCUCGGUGGUCGGCACAGUCCCCGAGCACGGCGUAGGGACCGGUGGACAAGUCCCCGAGCGUGGUUGGGAACGUAAACGUGCUCGGUGGUCGGCACAGUCUUCGAGCACAGCAUAGAGAGUAGUCGACAAGUCCCCGAGCGUGGUUGGGAACGUAAACGUGCUCGGUGGUCGGAGCAGUCCCCGGGCACAGCGUAGGGAAUAGUCGACGAGUCUCCAAACGUAGCUUGUCGACUGGGCCAAACUCCUGAAAAAUAAAUAUAAAGAAUUGGUAGUACAUGGUGUAUAAAUAACCUUUAGAUAAAAAAUCAGUACUAAGAUAAGUUUUAGAUUUUUUGUUAUAAAAUUAGCACGAGUAGUUAAUUCAUCCUAGAGCUUGUACCAGCUCUGGUCUAGCCAACAAUCAGCAUGAGGUGCGGAACCUAGGCACGCGUAGGAUUGUCAGCCACGUCAGAGAGCUACUGCCGACCACCCGGAACGCAGAGGGCGGAUCUCGUGCACGUGUAGGGAGGAGUCGGAGACAGUACCGGCUCUGGAAAGCUCGUGUAGGAGAAAAAACUAGUCGGCUAAAAAAGUUGUUUUGAAGAAUAAUAAUAUUAAAAAUAUUAUGCCAAAAAUAAAUAAAAUAUUAGAAUUGUACUUAUCUUUGGACGAAAGUCUGGUCGGGAGAGUUGCUUGACUUGUUGUCGUGAUGGUGGUCGCGGCUGUCGUAGCGCCGUUCUUCGCGACGAUUAUUAUUGCGACUCGUGGUCAGAGCAAGUAGGCCAAACAACUUGGUCGAUAGCCUGAGCAGGUCGGUGUCGUCGAUCUGCCUCCCUUUGUAGCAAAGAAGCGGGUGACGCGUUGUCGGCGUGGUCGGAGACGUUGCUGGAGUAGUUGGAGUCGUAGCCAGCGUGGUUGAAGCCGCCGCCGACGUCGAUGAAGAAGUGGUUGGUGCAGAUCGAAUCUACACCUCCUCCGUGGUCGUGGCGGUGAAGCUGUUGAAGCUGACGGUGAACGUGAAGUAGCCCGCCAUGGCCACGAAGUCGGGGAUGAUGACCAUCUCGUUCGUCGGGAGAGCUGUACGCAUACCCCCUACCUGGCGCGCCACUGUCGACGAAAGCUGGUCGGCAGUCUACCUUGGGGUAUACCCACGGUAGUAGUUUAUCGGUAGACGGUGCGCAAACUACGAACUCGAUGGUGACGCAAGACUCGGACAAGCUUUUUAUCCAGGUUCGGCCGCCGAGUUGGCGUAAUACCUACGUCCUGCGUCUGGUUGUAUUGAUUUGUGUUGAGAGAAUCGUAUGUCCUAGGGGGGUCCCUUGCCUCUCCUUAUAUAGUCUGAAGGGCAGGGUUACAGAUCUGGAAACUAAUCCUAGUCGGUUACAAUUGUCAUAGAUAGUUCGAUAUCAAUUCCUAUUCUAACCGACUAGAAUCCUGCUUGAUCUCCACAUCUUGCUUCCUUGCGCGAAACUCCAGGCUGUCGGAUCAAGCCUUGAACUCGUCUCGUAAUGGGCCAAGCCUGCUGGCCCAAGUCUAGCCGUAAGGGUAUAGGGGUCUACCCCCCACAGUCCUCUCCAUUAUUUUUAGUUGUAGAGAUAAAUAUUAAUUAAUAAAAUUUUAUCUAAAUAUAUCCAUGUGUGAUCUUGUUUUGAAGGAUUUGUUAUGAGAAAUUUAAUGGUGCAAUCGGAAUUUAAUUUAUAUCUUCGGUUUAAAAGUUAUGACUUUUUUAAAUUCGCCAAAACAAUUUUGCAUGCAUGAGUGAGUGGGGCCUAGGUUGAUGGGAUAGUCUAUCAUGGCUAAAAGGAAUGAGAGUUGUGGUUUCACCAUGUGUGUGGUAGAUAUGUCCU